GCCUGUGCCGCCGCCGCGGCCGCGGGAGAAGCAACUUCUCGAGCGCCGGCGACCGGCCGGACCCCGGCGCCGCCCCCGGCCCAGCGCAGAGUGCCGAGGCCAUGGACGCGCUGGCCUGGCCGCUGCCCCUGCUCCUCCUGCUCUGCGCGCAGCAGCCCCGCGGCACCAGAGCAAUGAAUGACAUUGGAGACUAUGUUGGCUCUAACCUGGAGAUAUCCUGGCUCCCCAACCUGGACGGCUUGAUGGACGGCUAUGCUCGCAACUUCCGGCCUGGCAUUGGAGGGCCCCCUGUGAAUGUAGCCCUGGCCAUCGAGGUGGCCAGCAUCGACCACAUCUCGGAAGUGAACAUGGAGUACACCAUGACGGUGUUUCUGCACCAGAGCUGGCGGGACAGCAGGUUGGCCUACAACCACACCAACGAGACUCUGGGCCUGGACAGCCGCUUUGUGGACAAGCUCUGGCUCCCGGACACCUUCAUUGUGAAUGCCAAGUCCGCCUGGUUCCACGAUGUGACCGUGGAGAACAAGCUUAUCCGGCUGCAGCCUGACGGGGUGAUCCUGUACAGCAUCCGAAUCACCUCCACGGUGGCCUGUGACAUGGACCUGGCCAAAUACCCUAUGGACGAGCAGGAGUGUAUGCUGCACCUGGAAAGCUAUGGUUACUCCUCGGAGGACAUCGUUUACUACUGGUCUGAGAACCAGGAGCAGAUCCACGGCUUGAACAAGCUGCAGUUGGCUCAGUUCACCAUCACCAGCUACCACUUUGCCACAGAGCUGAUGAACUUCAAAUCUGCGGGUCAGUUUCCUCGGCUCAGCCUGCACUUCCACCUCCGGAGGAACCGGGGCGUCUACAUCAUCCAGUCCUACAUGCCCUCCAUCCUCCUGGUCGCCAUGUCUUGGGUCUCCUUCUGGAUCAGUCAGGCAGCAGUGCCCGCCAGGGUAUCUCUAGCAGGCAUUACCACAGUGCUGACCAUGACCACGCUGAUGGUCAGUGCCCGCUCCUCCCUCCCGCGGGCCUCAGCCAUCAAGGCGCUGGAUGUGUACUUCUGGAUCUGCUAUGUCUUUGUGUUUGCUGCAUUGGUGGAGUAUGCCUUCGCCCACUUCAAUGCUGACUACCGGAAGAAGCAAAAGGCCAAGGCCAAGGCCAAGGUCAAGGUCACAGAGCAGAGAGCAGAGAUGGAUGUGAAGAAUGCCAUUGUGCUGUUCUCCUUGUCCGCCGCGGGAGUCACCCAGGAGCUGGCAGUGUCCCGUCGGCAGUGCCGCAGGCCUGGGAACCUCAUGGGCUCCUAUAGGUGUGUGGAGGUGGAGACAGGAGAAGCCAAGAAACAGCGGGGGGCCCGUGCAGGGGGCCAAGGAGGCCUCCGUACACUUUUCAAGCCCAUCGACGCAGACACCAUCGACAUUUAUGCCCGUGUGGUGUUCCCUGCGGCCUUUGUGGCAGUCAAUGUCCUCUACUGGGCAGCCUACGCCAUGUGAGGGCAGAGGUGGGCCUCUGCCUGUCCUGGAGCCCAUAGCCACCAGCUCCUCCCUCUCCCCCUCCAGCCCUACCUCCAUCUCUAGCUCCAAGGCCCUUUACCUCCUCAAGACCUCUUCUGGUACAAGGUUACCCCUUCGUCCCCUGCCCUAAAGGCCUGGGUUGCAGAGCUUGGCAGAGUCAUCCAGGGAGUAGGAUGGGCCAAGGAGCAAGACCUCCAGGAUUCAAUGUGAGCAGAAGCUCCACAAAUGGAGUGGACCUGGGGCCGCUUGGCCCUCACUGGACGUGCGUUGCUGCCGUGGCCCACUCUGUGCCACUGAUGUGGAAGCCCCCAGAGGUGAAUCCUGCAAAACUGAAAACCAAGCAUCCUGCUCAGAUUUCUGGCCUCUGGAGGAUUUGUACUCACCACUGUUCUUCAAGGACAUUCUUGAGUGGGGCAAGUGGCACAACGGUCCAUUGUCACCUCUGUCCAACGUAUCAUGCUGGCAUGAUAUCUGUGAACCAGGAUGGAGGGCACUCACCCCUCAGGAUAGGAAACAUGAGAGGACUCUGGCAGCUGCCAAAUAAAUCCACCAUGAAGCAGGUGGGAACCAGGGAAUGAUCAUAGGAUGUGUCCACAAGCCUGCUGGAUCGACUCUGAGGGGGACAUGGGCCAGGACUCCAUCCAUCACUCGACAUUCAUAAGCCCUCGUACCACCUGGGGGCCAGUUUUGACAUCUUGGGUCUCUUGGUACCACUGUCAACCCAGACCCUGUAUCAAAAAGUCCUUCAACAGGACGCCUGGGUGGCUCAGCGGUUGAGUGUCUGCCUUUUGCUCAGGGCGUGAUCCCGCGGUUCCGGGAUUGAGUCCCGUAUCAGGCUCUCUGCAUGAAGCCUGCUUCUCCCUCUG